AUUGAACGCUGGCGGCAGGCCUAACACAUGCAAGUCGAACGAGUGGCGGACGGGUGAGGAAUGUCUGGGAAACUGCCCGAUGGAGGGGGAUAACUACUGGAAACGGUAGCUAAUACCGCAUACCAUCGGAUGUGCCCACAUGGGAUUAGCUUGUAGGUGAGGUAAAGGCUCACCUAGGCGACGAUCCCUAGCUGGUCUGAGAGGAUGACCAGCCACACUGGGACGUGGAGAGGGUCCAGACUCAUUCGGGAGGAAGUAGUGGGGAAUAUUGAACAAGGGGGGCAGGCCUGAGGCAGCCAGGCCGCGUGUAUGAAGAAGGCAUUCGGGGUGUAAAGUACUUUCAGCGGGGAGGCGUUACCCGCAGAAGAAGCACCGGCUAACUCCGUGCCAGCAGCCGCGGUAAUAC
rnacentral:rRNA from 1 species